UACAGAGGUCCCAAGCGUUGUUCGGAUUCACUGGGCGUAAAGGGUGCGUAGGUGGCCAGGUAAGUCUGAUGUGAAAUCUCCGAGCUCAACUCGGAAAUGGCAUUGGAAACUAUCUGGCUGGAGGGUCGGAGGGGGGACUGGAAUUCUCGGUGUAGCAGUGAAAUGCGUAGAUAUCAGGAGGAAUACCGGUGGCGAAAGCGACUCUCUGGACGGUAACUGACGCUGAGGCACGAAAGCGUGGGGAGCAAACAGG
rnacentral:rRNA from 1 species